AAAACAAUACCAAUUUAAAGUUCAUAUCUUGCCUCAUUACAGUGAGAGAAAAACACUGAUAGUGUGGCAGGGUGUGAUAAUAGAUGCAUUAGCAUUAACAAAUAGCAUGACUCAUAUGUGGUUAACUUAAACUAAACCAUCUAAAUCAUGGGUGCUUGUUUAGAUAUCUCGUGAACUGAAAACAAUACCAAUUUAAAGUUCAUAUCUUGCUGAUUGGUGGAGAAUUCCCGAGAAGUUUUUGGUCUCAUAAAGAAGCUGAAUAUUGUCCCUGACACCAAGAAGAGAGCAAAAACAACAUCAUCUUUCUUUGAUACACUGGUCACUGGAGGAAACAACAAUAGCUCUUCGAAGGUCAAGUCAUAUUUAUGUGUUUGACACACAAAAGAAUCCAAGAGCUGACUCUCUUUUGCAUGCUGAGAUCAAUCCAAGGCCAUGACAAUGCCAAGAACAACCACCUAGUGACUUCUCUAUUGCUCAGUUCCGGUUUCUGGAGCGACUACUUAUCGUCCAUGGGCACUGGUGCGAUAAGAGGAUUACCCAAAUGGUAAGAACUACAGAAUCCCUAACACUAGAUGGGCCCCUUCAUGUUAGGCCUAGAUCCCAAAUGCAGCCUGAUCACAGAAACUUCCAGAUGGAAUGUGGGGUCCACCGCGUUGUAAAUAUACCAUCUAGCCCUCUCAUCUGGUGAGAGGGAUAGGAUGAAGGCGCACCCAUGAAAUGCAGGCCAUUCCAGAAUUCAGGUGAACCAUACCAUGUGAAUAUAUAUGUUUUCGGCAAGAUUCUAUAUUGUGGGCAAUGGUGUGUCUCACUUUUGUAUCUGGAUGAUUCUUGGUGUGUAUGGUUGGAAAAUCAUCUACUUCAUUCAAUGGAAAAACAUCCCAAGCCUGAUUUCUGCAAAUCUUAUCUUGUUA